rnacentral:lncRNA from 1 species
AAAAAAAAAAAAAAAGGUAUGGACACCAAAGAGCUAAUGAAAUUCACUUAUUUUUCAGUGAAAUGAUGAGCAAUGUCUUCCAUGUACACAUAAAUACUACAUGACCCAAAAAAAAUAUAUGAACCAAACUGCAAGAAAGGGAAUUUUGAGGUAGGUCUAACCCUCAAAGUUACGAGACAACUUUGUUUGAGAGGCCCCAACAAGCAAAAGGAAAAGGGGAAAAAGGUUGAAGAAAUAAUCUUGUCUCAUGUAAUCUUGUCUCAUAAUCACACUCACCUUUGAAAAAGGAAAAAAUAAAAUGAGAUAAAAUUAUUUUUAAAAAAAGGAAAAAAAUUAUAACAAGGGGAAACAAAAAAAAUCCAAUUCAUUUGGACUAUACCAUCUAGAGAUAUAUGAUCUCUUUUUGCCAUGAUCAUCAUUAUCCAUGACCAAAUUGCUUUUCUUUGAUUCAAUUUCUUUUUUUAUGCUAAAGUUUAGUUGCUUUGGGUGCUAGGAGAUUCUCCAAGUAGUAGGUAUUUUGCAUUUUGGUAGCUAUCAUUAGAAUAGGGGAAUAUAUAGCAAAAAACUUGAGGGAGAAGAAAUGGGUGAUCAGCAUAUACUUAUAAACUUAAAUAAAACAUAGAAAACAGCAUAAGAAAAGGAGAGAAAGGAAGGCGAUUUAAAGAGAGCAAAGAAAGGGCAUAUCAAGGCUUUUGUUUCUGCUCAUCAAGGACAGCAGAAAAAGUUAAGUUUGAAGUUCAUGGCAAUCAAAUCAAAAUGAAUGGGGCAUAAUCCACUUUGUUUUAAUAUUUUUAAAAUACUAUUUUAAUCAGGCAAGUAAUCCAAUUUAAGGGUGAAGUUGUUCCAGUUGUUGUAUAUAUAUUUAUUACUAAUAAUGAAUGUUUUCUAAAGUAUUUUAAGUCUUUUUAUAGUAUUCAAAGAAUGAUAUUUGGUUAUUGAUUAAUAGCUUCUUUAUUUGGAAUUCAAAUAAUAUGAACAUUGGAUAUGUUGCUUCAUUUCAAAAGUAAUGAUUCUUCAUCAAAAUCAUGUAUGUUCAUUGAGAAAUAUUUUAAACAAAAAGUGAUAAUUUUUCGUUCAAGUUAUGUACGUUUAUGGAAAGAUAUUUUAAAUAUCUUUUAAGGCUUAUAAAUAUUUCCAAAUAGUUUAUUUUAAGAUACUUCUACAAUCUUUCAAGAAUCAAAUCAUUCUCUCUCAUUCUCAUUUUCUAAUUUAUGGUUCACAUGUAUUUAAGAGAUUCCUGAAGUGUAAUCUUGAUUUUUUUUUUUUUUCGUUUAGACAUUAAAUCCUAGAUACGUUUUCCAGGGUUUCUUAACACUUUGGCCAAUAAAUUAUAUUAUUCUAAAGAAGUUUCUUAAAAUGUCUUAUCAUUUUUUUUUUCCUUUCAUUGAUUACAUUAGUCCAAUUCCAGGUACCAUCAUAGUUGCAAAGAGAACCUAAUAAUAUACAUAUGCAAAUCUUAAGUUAAAUAAAACCCAGAAUUAUGGACAUUGAAUAAUAGUUUAUUUCUUUUCAUUUUUCUUAAAUCCAAAGUAUGCUCUCUGUAUUUUUAACAAAUGAUGGGUUAUGUGUGUGUGUGUGUGUAUAUAUAUAUAUAUAUAUAUAUACCUCUAACAAAUGAUCAAGUGUAAUUUAUUUGAAUGACAUUAUUAGACAUCUUUAUAUUAAUUAAUUAUAUAGUAAAAAAUUGUGAUGGAUUGAUGGUUAAUUGUUAUAACUCUUAGUAAUCUAAUCAGAUCAAUGGCUAGGUCUGAAUGCUUUGGGGGAACCAUGAUUAAAAUCGUAGGACCCAUGAAAAAAAAAAACUUAUAAUUACCAUGAUAAUUUUAUAAUUUUUUUCUCAAAACAAUUAAUAGAUCAGCAAAAUGUAAAGAGGAAACUUUUCUUUCAAAAAAGAGCACUUUCACCAGCUUCCUAGAAGGAUGGCUAUCCUAUCCUUUCGAAUGAAUUCGUAUAUCAAAAAGGAAAAAGGAAAGGUUGGAAAGAAAAAUGAGAAAUUUCCUCAUUCUGUUGUAGUAAGCCUAAAUCCUAAAGUGAUAUAACCUAUCAUUCGUUAACCAUAUGAUAAAUCCUAAUGUUAUUCUUCUUGGCAGUUUUUAAUUAUUUAAGAGAUUGUCCUUUAAAUCAAUUGACAUUUCAUUGAAAUUAGUACUUAAAGUUUACGAGUUCGAUAGAACUUACGAGCGUAAUGUCAUCCUCACUUAGAUAAGUAGUAGGAUAAAAAGGUUUAAGGUUGACUAAAAUUUUAAUAUAUAUAUAUAUAUAUAUUAUAUUACAACAUAUAAUGUUAAAUGAUAAAAAUAGCUUAUGUAGAUACUUAGGUGGAUAAUCUCUUUUAAUGACACAUAGGAUAAUAUUUAUAUUAUUUUAUUUAUCAAAUAAAUUUUUUAAUAAAUUAUUUAAAUUGAAAUCAAAAUCUAUCUGAAAUUAAAAUUUUUGUAUAAAUUUUGAAUUUAAAUAUAUUAAAUCAUAAUUUAUUUUUUCUUUUUAAAUUUAAUGAAAGUUCCAAAUAUAUAUACUUAAUAAAAUUUUAUUUUCUGUCAAAUCAUUCUAUUCAAUAAAUUAUUUAAAUUUAAUAAUUUUUAGAUAAUUAUUUAAAUUCAAAUCAAAAUAUAUCAAAAAUUAAAAAUUAUUUAAUAGAUUAUUUAAAUUUAAUACAUUUAGAUAAGCUAAUAAAUUAUUGACUAGAAAGCAUGUAUUUUUAAAAUAUUAAGAGCUUGCAUCUUUAUAUGAAAAUAUGAGACAUUUGACUAUUGAUAAAAAAAAUUAGAUAAAAAUAUGCUUUUGUUUUGAAAACAAAUAUAAUGUUUUAUUUAUGUUCUAAUUCAAAUAUUUUUAUAUUAUAUAUUUGGUUAAUUUAUUUGUUUCUCCUUAGUCCAUAACUUUUUUAAAUUUUGUUUAGAUUGAUUAUAAUUAACGUUUUAUAUUAUAUUUAUUUUUUGUUUUAUUCAUUUCCCCAAUAUUUUUAUUCUCUAUUAAUUUAUUAACAUAUUUCUUCUUAUUAUUGUAUACCUUUAAUCUUGAUAAAUUAAUACGUAAACUUAUAUUCUCUGUUUCCUUUUACUAUACUUUUUAUUAUUGAAUUUAUUUGUCUACAAUGGAUUGUAUGAGAAGAAUAAUAAUCACUACCAUAUCUAACCCACAAAAAAUGCUAUCAAUUAUAUUAAAAAUAAUUUAAAAUAAAAAAUAUUUCAAAAAAAAGGUUUUUAAGCAUAACAUAAAGAAUUAUUGUUUCCCUUUUAUCUAAAAAAUAACUUUAUUUUGUUGACAUAUAUAGAAAUAAUUGUUAGCUCAAUAUAUUUGUGUAAUAAUUACUUGAAGUAUGUCAAAAAUAAGAACUAAUAAAAAACAAAUAGUUAUGACCAAAUUAAUAAUUGCAUUUUGUUGUUCAAUCAAAUAUAUACAUACAUUAAAUCAACAUUAUGAUAAAAACAAUUAUUAAUCUUAACUAUUUGAAUAUUAAUUCUUGAUUUUUUGUCAAACAAGAAAAAAGCAAUAGUAAAAUUUUUAGUAUUUAACAAAUGAAUGAAGAAAAUAAUUUUUUACAAAAAAAAGAUUUUUAUAAUUUUUGAAAAUUUACAAAAGUUUUAAGCUUUUUUUUAUAAGGACAGUAUCAUUUAUAAUAUAUUAUGUAUAAAUUAUCAUUUAAUUGUAACUUAACAUUUAUAAAUGUAUGAUUAUAUAUUAGAUCAAUAAUUAAAAAAUAAAUUUAAAAUUUAAAAAUUUUAAUAAAAAAUAUCGUGCAUCAUACAGGUUAAAAAAGCUCGUUAUAUAUAUAUAUAUAUAUAUAUAUAUAUAUAUAUAUAAGAGGGACUAGGGGUAUAAUCAAUCAAAUUCAAGUAGAUAUAGUAUUAAGUUCAAGUUCGAGCUCGAUUUGAAAUUCAAAAUUUGAAACUCGGUUCGAACUCGUUUUUCUUUUCAAGUUCGACUAGAAAUAGAAAUUGAGCUACUUAAGCUCGCUCGAUUAGGCUCGAUUAAUAUGUAAAAAUAAGAUUGAUUCUUAUAUUCAACAAAAACUUGAUUAUUUGUACUCGAAUUUGAGAUAUUUUAUUAAUUAAAAUAAUAAAAAUAUAUUUAAAUAUAAAGACUCGAUUAGGCUCAUAAACUACUUAAAUCGAGUAUAAGAAUGCUCGAACUUGACUCGAUCGAUGAGUCAAGCUAUUCAAGCUUAAGUUCGACUUGAUAAUAAUCGAAUCGAAUUCAAGUUUUAUUAUAAUCGAAUCUAAGUAGCGUACGAGUAUUAAUGUAUCAUUUAUAUUUCUAAAAGGGACUGGACAAAAGCUAACUACUGGACUAGUCCAUUUACAGACUUGCCCAAAAAAUCAUCACAUAGGCCCAUGCUUAUUCAAUGUGAGGCCUAAUUGUUGUGUUUUCCUUUUUUCUCUUUUUAUUUUUUUUUUGGGGGGGGGGGGGGGGGGUUUGGGGUGGGGGUCUGGUUGAUAUUAUUCUUUCACUGUGAGUGCAUGUUGGGGUAUUUUCAGGGAUUAAUCAAUACUUAUUAGGUCUGAUGAUGCAUCUAACAAACAGUCCCUCUUCCCAAUAAAGCAUAAGAGUCAUUAAAUUAUUUUUUUUUCUAGCAAAUGUCUUUAGGUCAGCCACACAUGGACUGUCAUGGGGCACCUAAAGUAAAGAUUAGGAAGCCAAAGUUCUCCAAUGUUUGUACUGUUUUCUUCUUCAUACCAAGCAGCCGUUAGACAAGGACAAUGUUGUCCUCUUCCAUUUUCUUUUAUGUGGAAGAUUUGAGAUUGAAACACUGCUCUGCUUUAGGUGAUGGCAUCUUUAUCUACCUUUCCCAUACCCCCUUUUCCCUACAACUUUGGGACAUCCAAUGAAAACCUCACCUUUUUGCUAAGAAGGAAAGAUUACCGCAAACAGGCUUUAGAACCAACAAGAAAAUCUUUGUGAAUUAAUGUUCCAACAGUAUGACGUGUUUGGGGAUUGUAAAACCUUUCAAGUCUAGUCCACAUAAAAUAGCCUUUUCUUUUCUUUUCCAUGUUGAAAAAAUUCUCUAGUUAUUUAUGUGAAUAAGACUCCAGUUUCAAUCACAAUCUAAACAGAACUGAAUUUAUGCAUUUUCAUUACCAAUUCUUCAUGCCUCUUGAAAAAAAAAAAUAGUAUACUUUUUCUAGCCUUGUGAGGGUAGGCAGGCAGUCAUUGAGGGGUAUGUUUUCCUAAAUUUCAGUUACAUUUCGAUAGAUUUUAAGAUGUCACAUGAAAUGUAGGAAAAAAAACAUCAUUGCAUUUCCAGUUUCUUGAUAGGAAAAUUUCUUAGUACUAGAUUUUAUUAAGCAAAUAAGCUGUGUGCCAUUGCUCCUUUUAUUAUGAACCUGGUGUAUAUUUGAGUUUGAACUUCUGAACUAAUCUGGCUACUCAAAGCAAAUACUAUUGCUUGACAUUGAAAUUGAAUGAUUUCAGGUUGUCACCGGAUGAAGAACAUAAGAUACGCAAGCAAUUGGAUUUGAUUCAAAGCUCUUGUAUUUCAAUUUGUAAUCUCUCUUAUCAACAUUAUCCAUAUUAUAUUCAUGUUAACUCUUUCAAGGUGCAUUUUUUUUUCUUUCAAAAGGGUUUUCGAGUUACAUAAUAAGAGAUAAUCUUUUCUCGCUCAUAAAUCUUAUUCUGUCAAUCUCAAGGUUUGAACAAAAUAACCAAAAGAACUAUGAACUUGAAACUAACUAUAUAAAAAGCUCAAAAAAGUUUACUUUUAAUCAGAAGGCUUCAUAAAUGAUAACAUAUCACCUACAAUUAUUGUAGUGUAAUUGAUCAAUCAUAAUUUAGCAUUUAUUUUUAAGUGAUGGAUCCCUAUAAAAUUAUUAUAAAAAAAAUUGUAAAUGAAAUGCUACGUCGAUAAAUUUCCUUGUUCAUUUCUAGCAGGAUAUGUUUCUGGGUUAUAUAAAAAUUGGGCCUCAAGCCUUAUGAAGCAAAUUGGGCCUGAAUAUAUUACUGCACUGCUUUCUAGGACUGUCUUAAAGUCAUACAUCCAUUGGACUGGGUUGGGUUGGAAAAAACAAUUUGUUAGGUUUUUUUUUUUUUUUUUUGUUAAUCGUAUGAAAAAAAAAAGGAUUAAAUUUAAUUUCUAUUUCAUUUUCAAUAUUUGGUAUUAUGGUAAGUGUAUUGGACCUUUAUAAAUGGUCCUAAAAAUUUUUAGUAAGAUAAAUUUUUUUUUCAAGAAUUGAAUGUUUUAAGAAGAAAUAUAUUUAUUUGAUUAGUUAAUCUUGAAAAUGGCUCUUCUGCUUGAAGGUCAAACUACCUUAUGAAUUAAGUAGGCCUUCACCAAUAUCCAGUACUGUCAUCCCUCAUAGAACCCCAGAUGACCGUCUAACAAAGACUGGUUAUGUGAAGCUUUCAGCAUUGUCACAGGUAGUAAUUGAUUAACUUUUUUUUUUCUUUCACGCAAAAGUGAUUGUGAAAGAAACGGUCUGGAUUUGCGGAACAACCCGGUGAUUUUCCACUCCUAUUUUUGUCGUUGAAUAUUUUUUUUUAAUUUGAUGAAAUUUCUGUCCUUAAAUUUCUUGUCUCAAAUCAUUGUGCUGGGAGGUCUUGUGAAAGCUUUGUUUUUAGUUUUUCGCCAUUAAUACAUGCUAUAGCUUAAUCUAAUUUGAUCCAUGAAAUAAAUCUUUGACAAUCUAAAAUAUAACAUAUUGACAUGAUACGAAUAUGAGAUGAAUAAAUGAUACAAAAAUAAUAAUUUAAAAUUUUAAUAAUAUCUAUAUAUAAAUUUAAAAAAAACAUAUUUUAAUUUUUAUAUUAAAUUAUAACAUAUAAUAUUUAUAUAAUAUAUUAUGAAUAUGCGAAUUUUAAUAUUUUACGUUACUAAUAUAUAUGAAUUGCUGUAAUAAGACUAUUGAUUGCCUUAGUCUUGUCCCCUAACCCAUAUGUUAUGAACUAUUGGAAAUGGUCUGAUGCUUUUCUGGAUAAUAGUCUUACACUCAUAAUAGUAGAACCAACACAAUAUCAUAAGCCUUUACUAACUGCACAAAACUUGAAAUUGAACACGGUUCAUAUAUACCAAUAAAAUUAUUUAUAAAAAAUAAACAAUAGUCAAUACAAAAUUUUAUUAAUAAUCACAAUAACAAUAAAUUUAAUACAAUGCACAACCACUCAAAAAAAUGAUGAAAACCAAUGUAACUCACUGCUUCAUAAGAGCAAGAAGAGAGAUAAUAAGAGAUAAUGUAACAGCAACACUGGAAACCGGCUGAGAGAAGGCAGCUCCGGUGUCCAUUGACGGGGCAGGCGCCGUUGCACUGUCCUGAGCUGAUACAGUACUGGUGGCUACUGAGAGGACAACGGCAACAAAAAUGAUCAUAAUGGCCUUAGAGAAGCAAACUUUUGCCAUUUCUGAAAACUAAAUGAAGAAAUGAUUAAAAUUAACGAAAGAAGUGAGAAAGUUACUCAAAUUUCUUACUGUUAGACAAUAUUGAAGGCAAUACAACAUUUCAGGGUGUGGGGGGGUAUAUAUAGGAAUGUGGGGUAUGGUGGACCAACGAAGAAAUGAAGUGGAACCAGCUUGGAGACUUGUUCACAAAGGCCCUUUGAACAGCUCAAAUUGCGGGUGGUUGGUCUUUGAUUGGUUCUCAGAAUGGACAACGGCCAGUUGGAACAAGACACGUUGCAAACGUUAGUUGUUGUUUCAAGAUUUAUAGGUGAUGUGGGUUGGAAUUUUCUCAUGCAAGAAUGGGAAACCUUACCCAACACCAUGUGCCGUGUGCAGCUACAACAAGGCGACUCGGUCUCUAACAACCACUUUUUUGUUUGAUCAUUAAACAUAUCCUCAUAAAUGAAUUAUCCUUGAAAAGAAGAAACCUUUCUAUAUAGGUUACAAAUACAAUUCCUUCAAGAUUAAUGGAAAGCUCUGCAUUACAAAACCAUGAAGUAAUAAAAAGAGAAAACGACUGAAAACCUGAAUGAAUGCAAAUAGAAAGGCCUAGAAACUUUGGCUUUUUAGCUUUGUCUUAUUUUCCAGGAAAACAUUUUCCUUGGAAACUAAGGAUGUAAGUAGUCAAAGUCAUUAUGCUUUUGUUAUUAUCUAUGAAUUAUUGCACCAUUAAGAAAAUACUUUCAUUUGGCUUUCUUCCUACUCUAAGCUAAGCAUAAAUAAAUGAAGGGAACAAUUUUUAUUUUUUUUUUAGAUUUGCAAGACAUUGUAUUCAAGAGAAAGAAUUAUAUAAAACAAUUAUGUCAUGUCAACAUAUAUUUUUUUACAUUUAAAUUAUGUUACAUAAUUAUAUUAUUGAAAAUUUUUAAUUAUUUAUUAUAAAAUAAUUAAUUAACUUAUUUAAAUUAAUAUUCACCAUUUAAUUCUCAUGAGACUUGUAAUAAAUGAUUGAUUUUUUCAAAUAAUAUAAUUACAUGACAUGAUUUAAAUAUAUAAUAAUUGUUUUAUACAAACCUUUCUCUUGUGUUCAAAGCAUUAUUAUUUGUCCUAUAUUAAUUAUUGAUAUAUGGAAUUUGAUUAUAAAAUUAAAAAACAUUAUAAAAUUACACUGACAACAGGACUUGUAAAUUAUAAUAGCUGAUAUCAAACAAAAGAUGAUGUAUAUAUUUUCUUAAAUACUCUAGAUUGCACAACUAAUUAUCUUGCCUAUUCUUCUUUUUAGUUGAUACAUGGAAUUUGAUUUACAAAAGGAAAUAGAUGUUGUACUCCCAAUUUUUUCUCAGUUUGUAACUCAAUUUUAAAAUCUCCGAAUUGUUUGUGACCUUGUCGAGGUGUAGUUUACAGAUAUUUUUACACAUGAAAAUUAUAUAAUUAAUUAUUAAAAUGAAAUAAUCAUAAACUAGAGCUAUUAAUGGGUCGAAAUCAAGUUCAUGGGCGUAGCCCAAUUCCGAACAAGUCCAACACAUGACUUUGAGAGUCAAGUCAAGCCAAGCCUAAUCCGAAUAAUAAUUAAUAAAGGAUUUCAUUUUAAUUUUAAAUAUUGGUAUAAAUAUUUUUAAUAUUUUAAUAAUAAAUAGAAUUUGAACUGACGGGUCAAGAUUUAAGAGAUGUAAACCAUGGAUGCCUGUAAUUCAUUACACAAAAGGAAUAUAAUUACUCCCAAAAAAUAAAAAAUUCACACUAGAAGCACUUUAUUCGAAGAAUCACCUUCAUUACAAUGGUCUAAUGAAGUAACAAAGAAUGAAAUCGGGAAAAAAAAAAAAAAAACCAAUAGAGAAGAGCCAAACAAGCUCUUUUUAAUUUAAUGCUUCAAGAAAGCAAGAAGAGAAACGAUCAAAGAGAAGCCAACAGUUGCGCUAGAAACGCCCACAGAGAAAGCGGCUCCAGCGUCUGGGGCUUGUGACGGCGCCUCGCUAACCUGCGCCGAGGCGGCGGUUAAGAAUGCCAUGACCAAAGCCACCAAAAGAGCCUUCAACACGCUAACUUGCGCCAUUUCAAAAAGAGAGAAGCAGAGAAAUUUUUAUUUUCUACUUUUGCUCUGAAAUUGUAAGAGAAUUUUCUUUGUAUGAAUUUGGGGUUGGGUAUGGAAAGGGUGGUAUUUAUAGGGGAGUGAAAGCCGCGUGGGGCCUACGGAGGGAGAGUGACAGCUGGGUAACGUUCACAUAACAGCUAUUAAAUAAAUUGAGUGAACAGAAGUUACAGCAUAGAGGAGAUUUGUGAACUGCGCAGUUAGAAUCGAAAAGAUUGUGCUGUUGUGGUCGGAAGCCAAUUGGAGGUUGACACGUUUGUCUGAAAGUUGGACGGAUGAAUCUAUGUCGGUGAACGACAUUGCAACCUGGAAGCCCCGUGGGGUUGAUGAAGUUUGGGAACGUGAUAAUUAAUUCAUGCUAUGUUAUAACAUAUACUAUAUGAUCAUUUUUGUUGAUACAACUACUAUAAUCAUUUUGGACAUGUUACUAUGGCAUAAACAUGUCAAUGUACUCGAUUGGUUCAAAAAUUUAAAAUUUCAAUUUAAAAUUUUGAAUUCAAAUUUUAUAACGAGCAAAAUAAAAUAAUUUAUACAAUGAACCUAAUAUGAUUUAAAAGAAAUAGGACCACUCUCCUUUUAUUUAUUUAUGUAUGACAGCCAAUCACAGCAAUUAUAUUACAAAAUUAAAUAUACAAUUAUGGAUUUUGAUAUUUAAUUUUAAAAGAAUCGAUUAAAAUUAUUUAUUUAUUUAUUAUAUUAUUUGAAUUCAAGAAUAAGAAUUAAAUACGUACUCAUUUUUUAAAUUUUUUUCAUAUAUUUAAAUUAUCUUACUUUCAUAAUCACAUUUAUCACAAAUGUAUUGAAUAAUAAUGUUUCAAAAAAAAUAAAAAAUUCAAAUAAUUAACAUAAUUUAUUGGGAUUUUAUGAAAACAAAUUUAAAACAAUCAUAAAGUGUAAAAAAUAAGUAUUGGUUAAAUAUAAUUAUAUGAAUAUAGUAUAUAAUAUAAUUUAUUUGAGGAUUCAAGGGCUCCGCUUGUGGGCCAUUACAAAGUAUAUAUCACUAAUUUGUGAACACAACAAAGAUAUCUAAAAAUUUGGAAACAAAUUAAAAAAAAAAAUGAUAGCACCCAAUAAUAUUAAUUAUCUCAUGGCAGAAUAGAGGUCUCCCCUCAUGAAACCUUCACCAAUGAGGUGAAAAGGGUGGCAUCCCAUAACUCUUGAAACUUUGAAUCAAUGCAACAACAAAGCAAAUCAAAGAUACCAAUAUGGAGAACACGCCACCACAACGGAAACCGGCAAAGUAAACCCCGAUCAGGUGUCCAUUGCUGGAGAAGGAGUGAUAUCUGUGCCAUGGUUCCGGAUACGUAAAACAGUGCCACAACAAACAUUGCCAUCACAAUCUGAGUUGCAGAGAUCCCAAACCCUGCCAUUGACGCUUAACACAAAAUGUAGAGACGACGAGAGAGGGGAAAUUAAUUGAGGUUAGAAUUGUUUGGUUUCUGUAUGAAUUGUGCAAAUGUACUAAGCCUAGAAUUUAUAGGUAUGAUGUGAAAUUUCCUUCAAAUUUCGGAUCCACAAAUGUGAGAACUUAUAAUAACGAUUUCAUUUCCAUGCCUUUUAGGUCACGGCUUGCAUGUGGAAACCCAGAAAACGCUUUGUUUGACUGAUAUAAACUUGGAGAUAUUUAUGUAGCCUUUUUGUUGAAUUUUUCUGUAGCAUUUUAACUUUAAAUAUUAAUAUAAAUAUUUUUAAUAUUUUAAUAAUAAAUAGAAUUUGAACUGACUGGUCAAGAUUUUAGAGAUGUAAACCAUGGAUGCCUCCAAUUCAGUACACAAAAGGAAUAUAAUUACACCCCAAGAAAAAAAAAUCACACUAGAAGCACUUUAUUCGAAGAAUCAACUUCAUUACAAUGGUCUAAUGAAGUAACAAAGAAUGAAAGAAUGAAAAAAAAAAACAGAAAAGAAAAGAAAAAACAAAACCAAUAGAGGAGCCAAACAAGCCCUUUAAUUUAAGGCUUCAAGAAAGCAAGAAGAGAAGCGGAUCAAAGAGAAGCCAACAGCUGCGCUAGAAACGCCCACAGAGAAAGCAGCUCCAGCGUCUGGGGCAGGUGACGGCCCCUCGCUAACCUGCGCCGAGGCGGCGGUUAAGAAUGCCAUGACCAAAGCCACCAAAAAAGCCUUCAACACGCUAACUUGAGCCAUUUCAAAAAGAGAGAAGCUGAGAAAUUUUUAUUUCCCUUUUUGUUCUGAAAGAGAAUUUUGUUGCUUGGAAUUGGGGUUGGGGAAGGGAAAGUAUGUAUUUAUAGGGGGAGUGAACGGCGUGUGGGGCCUACAGAGGGGAUGGGUGACAGCUGGGCAACGUUCACAUAACAGCUAAUAAAUAAAUUGAGUUAGUGGAAAGAGGAGAUUUGUGUCGUACACAGCUGAAAUUGAAAAGAUUUUUGCUGUUGUGGUCGGAAGGCAAUUUGGAGGCUGACACGCUUGUCUGAAAGUUGGGACAGAUGAAUCUUACGUCGGUGGAACGACAUUGGAACUUUGAAACCCUGCGGGGUUGAUGAAGUUUGGCAAGGUGAUAAUCAAUUCAUGUUGUGUUAUAACAUAUACUAGAUGAUCCAUUUUUGUUGAUACAACUAUUAUAAUCAUUUUGGACAUGGUACUAUGGCAUAAACAUGUCAAUGUACUCUAUUGGUUCAAAAACUUAAAAUUUCAAUUUCAAAUUUUAUAAUGAGGCAAAAUAAAAUAAUUUAUAAAAUAAACCUAAUGUGAUUCAAAAGAAAUAGGACCAUUCCCCUUUUAUUUAUGCAUGAUAGCUAAUCCUAGCGAUUAUAUUACAAAAUUAAAUAUAUAGUGAUAAAUUUGACAUUUAAUUUUAAAAAAAUUAAUUAAAAUUAAUAUAUAUUUAUUUAUUACGUUAUUGAAUUUGAAAUUAAAUGCCAUAUAUGAUUAUUUUCAACAACAAAUAUGAUUAUUUUUUUUAAAAUUUUUUCAAUAUAUUUUAAAUGUUCAACCUCAUAUAUAUUAUAAUACAAUAUUUAAAAAAAUCCGAACAAUUAUAUAUUAUUAUUAUUCAAUUAUUUAUAAAGAAAAAAAAUUAAAAUCAAUCAAAAAUAUGAGAAAUAAGUAUUUGGUUAAAUAUAAAUGUAUAACAAAUAUAUAUUUAAUUUUAUUUGAGGCUUCAAGGCUCUGCUUAUGGUCUGCCAUUGCGAAUGUAUAUCACUAAUAUUGUAACAUAACAAAGAUUCUAAAAAUUUGGAAACAAAAUCUUUAAAAAAAAUGAUAGCACCCAAUAUUAUCUCUUAGCAGAAUAAAGGUCUCCCCUCAUGAAAUCAUCACCAGGGAGUCUUCAGGUGGCAUGUCAUAGUCUUGAAACUUUGAAUUCACUGCAACAACAGAGCAACCAAAGAUAGCAAUAUGGAAGAACACACCAACACUCCGGAAACCAGCAAAGUAAACCCUGCUCCGGCGUCCAUUGCUGGAGAAGGAGCGAUAUCUUGUGCUAUGUUUCCGGAUACGUAAAACAGUGCCACAAUUAGAGAUGGCAAAUGAGUCGGGCCGGGUCGGGUCAGUUUUUGCUCGUCCCAAAUUCGAUCGAAUUUUAAACAUCUGAUAAUUUUUUUAUUAUUUUUAUACACGAAUUCAAUCCGAUCCGACAUUGUAUAAAAUCAUAUCUUAUCCGAAAUUAAUAAAAUAUUAUUUUUAAUAUAAAUAUAAAAUUAAAUAUAUAUAAAUAAUUAUAAAAUUAAAUAAAUACUUAAAAAUUAUUUUUAUAUAUAUCAUAUCAGAUUUGCUUAAAACUCGACCUCGACUCGAUUUCGAUUUUUUUUUUUAUGCCACUCAACCUGAUACUUGUUUUUUAAAAAAAAAAUUAACUCUAAAAAAUCGGAUCGGGUCAAAACCCAUCGAUUUCAAGUUUUUUUGCCUUCUCUAGCCACAACAAACGUUGCCAUCGCAAUCUGAGCUGCAGAGAUCCCAAACACUGCCAUUGACGCUUAACACAAAAUGUAGAGACGACGAGAGUAGGGAAAUUAAUUGAGGUUAGAAUUGUUUGGUUUUUGUAUGAAUUGUGCAAAUGUAUAAAGCAAGCUUAGAAUUUAUAGGUGUGAUGUGAAAUUUCCUUCAAAUUUCGGAUCCACAAAUGUGAAAACUUAUACUAACAAUUUCAUUUCCAUGCCUUUUACGUCACGGCUUGCAUGUGGACACCCACAAAUUCUUUAUAUCACUGAUAUAAACAUAGAGAUGUUUUUGUAGCCUUUUGUUGAAUUUUUCUGUAGCAUUUUAACUUGAUCAAUGGACUAAGCAAUUGGGGGAACACAGGUUUUUAGUUAAAUUUGAAAAUUUAUAUAUAUUUACAUCAUAUAAAAUAUUAAUAAUUCAUAUAUUUAUGUUAUAUUUUACACAAAAAUUAUAAAUCACAAUUCGUAUUGAUACAAAAAUAUAAAAUAUUUUUUUAUUUUAUUAAAUUUAUUUUUAAUUUUUACUAAAAUUGUAAAUUAUUUCACAUUCAUAUCUUUUUAUAUAAUUUUUAUGUCAUAUUAUCAUAUAUCAUAUUUUGUAUUAUCACACCUAAUUAUAAUAUACUCUCGAAUAAAUUUUUUUUUUUAAGUAUGUUUUCGUUACCCGCGUGCGAACCUCCCUUUUGCCAGCUAAAUUUGUCGUGGAGAAAAAAAAAUUUGUGAGCUUUCACUAUGAUACUUGGGGACGCAAGGAGUUUUUGGACCCCGACUCCUUUCUUCUACAUUAUUGAUGGGAAAUUAAAUAUCAAAUCCAUAGACAAAACUAGAAGUUAUUAAAAGAAUUUCUAUUCAACCUACAUGGAAAUGUUAUAUCCAAACUACUAAUUGUGUGAAAUUAUGGAAUCUAAAACAAGUUUGGAUAAUCCACUGAUUUGUAUACAAUAUUUACGAAUAAUGUAUAGAAUUAUCAAAUUUGUUAUAUAAUUAUUUAAAAAUUUAUAUUUAAUUUAUUAUCAAUAUAUAAAUUUUAUAUAUUAUCAAUAAAUAAGAUAAUGAUAUCUUAUUAAUGAAGUGAAUCAGAUAAUAUCACUUCAAUAAUGAAUAAAUUUUUAAAAAAUAUUAAUUUUUGUAUAUUAAUGAUAUAACAUAAUUUAAUUUAUUGAUAGUUUAUAAAAUUUAUACACUAAUAAUAUAUUAAAUAUAAAUUUAUUAUUUAAUUUAAUAAUAAAUAUAAGAUUCUGAUUAAAGUAUUUAGAAAAGUUGACUUUCUCUGAGUUUCAUUUAUCAAUCUCUUCAACUUGAGGAAAAUGGUGUGUCCUUUUCAUUGCAAUGGUGUCUUUGAGUGAUUGAUUGAUUAUUAUAACCACAGGCAGCCAUUGUUAAUAUAUUAAUGGAAAGUAAUAAAGGUGAGAGGUCUUUGCUUUAAUUGUGUUCAUUAUGGAAUUGGGUGCGUACCCAAAAAAGAAGGUAAGCUGCCAUUGUUGAAGAGCCUGGCUGGAAAAAUAUUGCUGGGGAAAACUAGACGUUGAGCUCCAUCGAUCUGUUUUGUGGACCUUGUGUUUGUCUGGACUGUUCAUUUUUCUGUCAAAUCUAAAAAGAGAAUAACCCUAUCCACCUGUUAAGGGUUAUUUUUGAACCAAAGGAUAAAUUAAUUUUUUUAUUAGAGAAUGUCAAUAAAUAAUUUAAAAAAAUUUAAUUUUUAAAUCGAUAUAUUAAUUAAGGCUUAAAUAUAUAUUAGAAAAGAUAUAGUAUUUUUUAUCAAUAUAAUAUGAAUAUUAUCAAAUUGACUUAAAAUUUUACGCGUUUAUGAUAAAUACGAGUAAACUAUUAAAUUCAAAGAAUGAUUUGUUGAAAUAUUAAUUGUACAAAAAAUUAUAUGAAAGUGUAAUAAUUUGUAAAUUUAUAUAUUAGUAUAAUUUCAUAGCUCCUCUUCAGAGAGAUCCACUUGGACUUUAUAAAAUAAUAUUGUCUUUCCAUUUUAAUGAGAAAUGCAAAAUUUAAGGGGCAAGUUGUUAAGUAGGUUUUGACAAAGGUUUGCACCACAAAUUCAUCUUUGCAAACUAUCCCAAAAUUUGGGGCCAAUCUCAGUCCUCAAACCUUGCAAAACCAAGCAUGUAAAACCGUCUUUGAGCUGAAAAAAUCCGUUUCUUCCUAAAAAUAGUCAUGGAUUUUACCUUUUAAAAUCCCCUUAGCACCUCAUUCUCCCUUUGACCUGCAAAAAGAAUAAAGUAAAAACACCAACAAAAGCACCAAAUAAAAAUUUUCAUCACCAAAUAAAGGCAGGUCUCUCUGUGCGCUUAUUCUUCUCCAUCAUGGACAUGCAGAAGAUCUCUUGCGCCGUCAUUGUCGCUGCCGCCUCCAUGAGCGCAGUCAUGGCCUCCACUGACGCCCCAGCCGCUUGCUCCAGGCCCAUCCACAGCCUCCAGCGCUGUAUCCUCAACUUUGCUGUUCUUGGCUCCUUGGUUGGGGCCUCCUCGUUUCUUUCUUUGCUACUACUGCAGUAAGCCAAUAAAUUUAUGAAAAAAAUAUGUAUUGAAGAAGAAAAUGAAGAAUUAUUAAUGUAAACUAAUUAGUAGGCCAAAUUUGAUUACUUGGGUUCAACUAAUUGAAGAUUAUUUUCUUCACUUCAUUGUUUAUUGAGUUUCUUAAUAAUUUGCAAUAAAAAGUUACUUGUAUGUAGUAUAUUUCUGAAACUUGAGCGAAUUCCAUGAGGUUGGACGUAAAAGAAAAAUCAUGUGCAUUCAUAGUUUCCCUGGACUAGUCUGGAAUUUGACCAGUUGCUUAAUCAUAUUAAAACCUGAAGCCAUUUUUUAUGAGAUGGAAAGAAAUUCAAACAAUGAACUUGUCACUGCAUGUUGGAAUGGUUUUGAGAUAAUUGGUACUUCUGAGUUCAUUAUAGUUUCUAAAUUGAAUUUAAUAAUUAUUAUUUUUGGAUUUGGAUGUAUUGAGUUCAUUAUAGCAGCCUUCUAAUGAAAUGCACGUGUUUGAUCUGGUAACACUAAAAAGGGUGUUAAGAAUAUCUUCAUUAUUUCCAUCAAAACCAACCGUGAGUCAAAAAUCUGCAAAUUAUGUUUGUUUCUAGAGUUUCUUCUCUUCAAGCAAACCACUCGGAAUAAACACUUUAUGUCAACAGAUUAACAAAAAAAAAAAAAAAGAUUUUCUAACAAUAAUGAAUAAAUUAAUGCCAAGCGCAUAAUGAAAAUCAGGUUCUUCCACGAACUUUUGGGGGGACAUGAGGCUCUUUGUUAACCAAAUUGCUGUUUCUCUAGAUGAGACAGCGUCUUCCACAAAAGGUCGUAGAACACCAGCAAGCUCAUCGAUUUUGUCUUGCUUAAGAAGCCUAGCACAUAGCUCAAGCAGAGACUCCAGAGCAUCGGCUCUUUGUUUGACUUGGAUUCUCCCACACACUCUUAAUUUCAUCAGCACGGAAGGCUGUAAGUCUACUCAGUAACGACACAUCAUUUGAUGUCAAGUGAAUUGGUCGGGCACCAUCUUUCUCUGUUAGAAAGGAGCUAGAAUCAUAUUCUGAUGUUGCUCCUGCAUCAUUUUUACAUGGAAGUACAGCUACUUUCUAAUGACAAGUAGCUCGUGUCACCACCUUCUGUUUUUGCAUUAGGACUACUUGUUUUAUUUGAAGAGCAUCUUCGAUCUACAUCAGUCUCAUAAACAGUAGAUGAUGAACUCCAUCGUCAGGGUACCCAUCUUUAUCAUCACAUCUUAUACUCGAGAUUGUCAUUCUAUUGGAAUCCCCUGAUCUACCAAGAACCUGCACGUCAAGAAACUCUUUUGCUGCUUCAAGAACCUGCAUGUCACAAAAAGUCUCAUCUUUUUUACUUAUAGACUUUAUAUCAGCUUCUGGCAAGCUUUGAGUGUGCUCAGAAAUGGGUUCUUCUUGUUGUGCAGAAGUGGGUUCUCGUUCAUCACGCUGAGAAUUGAAUGCUAUCUCUGAAGUUGACUCCACUUCAGCAUCCUUUGAGGAAUGCUCUUAAACUGAGCCUGUUUGUCUCCAUUGCUAACACUCACUUCAGAAUCAGUGGACUUGUCUUUGGAAUCACUGAUAGAAUUAGAUAUUUUGACAACGCAGCUAGUAGGAUCAACCCUCUUAGUGACAAGGUUGUCUUCUGUACUGGCUGUGGAUGUUGGCUUCUCACAACUAGGAGAACUGCUUAGGUGUAUAUCAGCCAUUGUCCGAAAUGCAUGUAUAUUUUCUUGUCCAUUUGAUACUCCAGUAUCUUGAACCCCCCUGCCCUUUUCAAUCCCAGGUUUGCUGGACAAUGAUUUUCUAGGUGACUUCUCCUUUGGGCUGUUUGUGGGCUUCAUCGGAAGAUAAACAGAAGAUGGGUUUCUGCAGCGAAGGAGAUGAGGCUGCAAAUGGGGUACCUUAAGAGUUCAGGCAGCCUAAAAUAUUAGAAUGCUCUGGGNNNNNNNNNNNNNNNNNNNNNNNNNNNNNNNNNNNNNNNNNNNNNNNNNNNNNNNNNNNNNNNNNNNNNNNNNNNNNNNNNNNNNNNNNNNNNNNNNNNNNNNNNNNNNNNNNNNNNNNNNNNNNNNNNNNNNNNNNNNNNNNNNNNNNNNNNNNNNNNNNNNNNNNNNNNNNNNNNNNNNNNNNNNNNNNNNNNNNNNNNNNNNNNNNNNNNNNNNNNNNNNNNNNNNNNNNNNNNNNNNNNNNNNNNNNNNNNNNNNNNNNNNNNNNNNNNNNNNNNNNNNNNNNNNNNNNNNNNNNNNNNNNNNNNNNNNNNNNNNNNNNNNNNNNNNNNNNNNNNNNNNNNNNNNNNNNNNNNNNNNNNNNNNNNNNNNNNNNNNNNNNNNNNNNNNNNNNNNNNNNNNNNNNNNNNNNNNNNNNNNNNNNNNNNNNNNNNNNNNNNNNNNNNNNNNNNNNNNNNNNNNNNNNNNNNNNNNNNNNNNNNNNNNNNNNNNNNNNNNNNNNNNNNNNNNNNNNNNNNNNNNNNNNNNNNNNNNNNNNNNNNNNNNNNNNNNNNNNNNNNNNNNNNNNNNNNNNNNNNNNNNNNNNNNNNNNNNNNNNNNNNNNNNNNNNNNNNNNNNNNNNNNNNNNNNNNNNNNNNNNNNNNNNNNNNNNNNNNNNNNNNNNNNNNNNNNNNNNNNNNNNNNNNNNNNNNNNNNNNNNNNNNNNNNNNNNNNNNNNNNNNNNNNNNNNNNNNNNNNNNNNNNNNNNNNNNNNNNNNNNNNNNNNNNNNNNNNNNNNNNNNNNNNNNNNNNNNNNNNNNNNNNNNNNNNNNNNNNNNNNNNNNNNNNNNNNNNNNNNNNNNNNNNNNNNNNNNNNNNNNNNNNNNNNNNNNNNNNNNNNNNNNNNNNNNNNNNNNNNNNNNNNNNNNNNNNNNNNNNNNNNNNNNNNNNNNNNNNNNNNNNNNNNNNNNNNNNNNNNNNNNNNNNNNNNNNNNNNNNNNNNNNNNNNNNNNNNNNNNNAUUUAUUUUUUGUUUUAUUCAUUUCCCAAUAUUUUUAUUCUCUAUUAAUUUAUUAACAUAUUUCUUCUUAUUAUUGUAUACCUUUAAUCUUGAUAAAUUAAUACGUAAACUUAUAUUCUCUGUUUCCUUUUACUAUACUUUUUAUUAUUGAAUUUAUUUGUCUACAAUGGAUUGUAUGAGAAGAAUAAUAAUCACUACCAUAUCUAACCCACAAAAAAUGCUAUCAAUUAUAUUAAAAAUAAUUUAAAAUAAAAAAAUAUUUCAAAAAAAAGGUUUUUAAGCAUAACAUAAAGAAUUAUUGUUUCCCUUUUAUCUAAAAAAUAACUUUAUUUUGUUGACAUAUAUAGAAAUAAUUGUUAGCUCAAUAUAUUUGUGUAAUAAUUACUUGAAGUAUGUCAAAAAUAAGAACUAAUAAAAAACAAAUAGUUAUGACCAAAUUAAUAAUUGCAUUUUGUUGUUCAAUCAAAUAUAUACAUACAUUAAAUCAACAUUAUGAUAAAAACAAUUAUUAAUCUUAACUAUUUGAAUAUUAAUUCUUGAUUUUUUGUCAAACAAGAAAAAAGCAAUAGUAAAAUUUUUAGUAUUUAACAAAUGAAUGAAGAAAAUAAUUUUUUACAAAAAAAAGAUUUUUAUAAUUUUUGAAAAUUUACAAAAGUUUUAAGCUUUUUUUUAUAAGGACAGUAUCAUUUAUAAUAUAUUAUGUAUAAAUUAUCAUUUAAUUGUAACUUAACAUUUAUAAAUGUAUGAUUAUAUAUUAGAUCAAUAAUUAAAAAAUAAAUUUAAAAUUUAAAAAUUUUAAUAAAAAAUAUCGUGCAUCAUACAGGUUAAAAAAGCUCGUUAUAUAUAUAUAUAUAUAUAUAUAUAUAUAUAUAUAUAAGAGGACUAGGGGUAUAAUCAAUCAAAUUCAAGUAGAUAUAGUAUUAAGUUCAAGUUCGAGCUCGAUUUGAAAUUCAAAAUUUGAAACUCGGUUCGAACUCAUUUUUCUUUCAAGUUCGACUCGAAAUAGAAAUUGAGCUACUUAAGCUCGCUCGAUUAGGCUCGAUUAAUAUGUAAAAAUAAGAUUGAUUCUUACUAUUCAACAAAAACUUGAUAUUCUGUACUCGAAUCUUGAAGAUAUUUAUUAAUUAAAAAAUAAAAAUAUAUUUAAGUAUAAAGACUCGGAUUCAGGCUCACUAAACUAACCUAAAUCGGAGUAUAAGAAUGCUCGAACUUGGGACUCGAUCGAUGAGUCAAGCUAGUUCAAGCCUCUACAGUCUCGACUUGAUAAUUCAAUCGAAUCGAAUUCAAGUUUAUUAUAAUUCGAAUCUAAGUAGCGUACGAGUAUUAAUGUUCAAUUUUUUAUAUUUCUAAAAGGGACUGGACAAAAGCCUAACUACUGGACUAGUCCCAUUUUACCGGACUUGCCCCAAAAAAUCAAUCACAUAGGCCCAGUGCUUAGUUCAAUGUGAGGCCUAAUUGUUGUGUUUUCCUUUUUUCUCUUUUUUAUUUUUUUUUUGGGGGGGGGGGGGGGGAAGGGGUUUGGGUGGGCAUGACUGGUUUGGGGGGGGGGAGGUUGAUAUUAUUCUUUCACUGUGAGUGCAUGUUGGGUAUUUUCAGGGAUUAAUCAAUACUUAUUAGGUCUGAUGAUGCAUCUAACAAACAGUCCCUCUUCCCAAUAAAGCAUAAGAGUCAUUAAAUUAUUUUUUUUCUAGCAAAUGUCUUUAGGUCAGCCACACAUGGACUGUCAUGGGGGCACCUUAAAGUAAAGAUUAGGAAGCCAAAGUUCUCCAAUGUUUGUACUGUUUUCUUCUUCAUACCAAGCAGCCGUUAGACAAGGACAAUGUUGUCCUCUUCCAUUUUCUUUAUGUGGAAGAUUUGAGAUUGAAACACUGCUCUGCUUUAGGUGAUGGCAUCUUUAUCUACCUUUCCCAUACCCCCUUUUCCCUACAACUUUGGGACAAUCCAAUGAAACCUCACCUUUUUGCUAAGAAGGGAAGAUUACCGCAAAACAGGCUUUAGAACCAACAAGAAAAUCUUUGUGAAUUAAUGUUCCAACAGUAUGACGUGUUUGGGGAUUGUAAAACCUUUCAAGUCUAGUCCACAUAAAAUAGCCUUUUCUUUUCUUUUCCAUGUUUGAAAAACAUUCUCUAGUUAUUUUAUGUGAAUAGAACUCCAGUUUCAAUCACAAUCUAAACAGAACUGAUUUAUGCAUUUUCAUUAGCCAAUUCUUGCAUGCCUCUUGAAAAAAAAACAAUAGUUAUACUUUUUCUAGCCUUGUGAGGGUAGGCAGGCAGUCAUUGAGGGAUGUGUUUCCUAAACUUUCAGUACAUUUCGACUUAGAUUUAAGAUGUACAUGAAAUGUAGGAAAAAACACAUCAUUGCAUCUUCCAGUUUCUUGAUAGGAAAAUUUCUUAGUACUAGAUUUUUAUUAAGCAAAUAAGCUGUUGUGCUCAUUUGCUCCUUUUACUUAUGAACCUGGUUUAUAUUUGAGUUUGAACUUCUGAACUAGAUCUGGGCUACUCAAAGCAAAUACUAUCUGGCUGACAUUGAAAUUGAAUGAUUUCAUGGUUGUCACCGGAUGAACGAACAUAUGAUACGCAAGCAAUUGGAUUUGAUUCAAAGCUCUUGUAUUUCAAUUUGUAAUCUCUCUUAUCAACAUUAUCCAUAUUAUAUUCAUGUUAACUCUUUCAAGGUGCAUUUUUUUUUCUUUCAAAAGGGUUUUCGAGUUACAUAAUAAGAGAUAAUCUUUUCUCGCUCAUAAAUCUUAUUCUGUCAAUCUCAAGGUUUGAACAAAAUAACCAAAAGAACUAUGAACUUGAAACUAACUAUAUAAAAAGCUCAAAAAAGUUUACUUUUAAUCAGAAGGGCUUCAUAAAUGAUAACAUAUCACCUACAAUUAUUGUAGUGUAAUUGAUCAAUCAUAAUUUAGCAUUUAUUUUUAAGUGAUGGAUCCCUAUAAAAUUAUUAUAAAAAAAUUGUAAAUGAAAUGCUACGUCGAUAAAUUCCUUGUUCAUUUCUAGCAGGAUAUGUUUCUGGUUAUAUAAAAAUUGGGCCUCAAGCCUUAUGAAGCAAAUUGGGGCCUGAAUAUAUUACUGCACUGCUUUCUAGGACUGUCAUAAAGUCAUACAUCCAUUGGACUGGGUUGGGUUGGAAAAAACAAUUUGUUAGGGUUUUUUUUUUUUUUUUUUGUUAAUCGUAUGAAAAAAAAAACGGAUUAAAUUUAAUUUCUAUUUCAUUUUCAAUAUUUGGUAUUAUGGUAAGUGUAUUGACCUUUAUAAAUGGUCCUAAAAUUUUUAGUAAGAUAAAUUUUUUUUUCAAGAAUUGAAUGUUUUAAGAAGAAAUAUAUUUAUUUGAUUAGUAAUCUUGAAAAUGGCUCUUCUGCUUGAAGGUCAAACUACCUUAUGAAUUAAGUAGGCCUUCACCAAUAUCCAGUACUGUCAUCCCUCAUAGAACCCCAGAUGACCGUCUAACAAAGACUGGUUAUGUGAAGCUUUCAGCAUUGUCACAGGUAGUAAUUGAUUAACUUUUUUUUUCUUUCACGCAAAAGUGAUUGUGAAGAAACGGUCUGGAUUUGCGGAACAACCCGGUGAUUUUCCACUCCUAUUUUUGUCGUUGAAUAUUUUUUUUAAUUUGAUGAAAUUCUGUCCUUAAAUUUCUUGUCUCAAAUCAUUGUGCUGGGAGGUCUUGUGAAAGCUUUGUUUUUAGUUUUUCGCCAUUAAUACAUGCUAUAGCUUAUCUAAUUUGAUCCAUGAAAUAAAUCUUUGACAAUCUAAAAUAUAACAUAUUGACAUGAUACGAAUAUGAGAUGAAUAAAUGAUACAAAAAUAAUAAUUUAAAAUUUUAAUAAUAUCUAUAUAUAAAUUUAAAAAAAACAUAUUUUAAUUUUUAUAUUAAAUUAUAACAUAUAAUAUUUAUAUAAUAUAUUAUGAAUAUGCGAAUUUUAAUAUUUUACGUUACUAAUAUAUAUGAAUUGCUGUAAUAAGACUAUUGAUUGCCUUAGUCUUGUCCCCUAACCCAUAUGUUAUGAACUAUUGGAAAUGGUCUGAUGCUUUUCUGGAUAAUAGUCUUACACUCAUAAUAGUAGAACCAACACAUAUCAUAAGCCUUUACUAACUGCACAAAACUUGAAAUUGAACACGGUUCAUAUAUACCAAUAAAAUUAUUUAUAAAAAAUAAACAAUAGUCAAUACAAAAUUUUAUUAAUAAUGACAAUAACAAUAAAUUUAAUACAAUACACAACCACUCAAAAAAUGAUGAAAACCAAUGUAACUCACUGCUUCAUAAGAGCAAGAAGAGAGAUAAUAAGAGAUAAUGUAACAGCAACACUGGAAACCGGCUGAGAGAAGGCAGCUCCAGUGUCCAUUGACGGGGCAGGCGCCGUUGCACUGUCCUGAGCUGAUACAGUACUGGUGGUUACUGAGAGGACAACGGCGACAAAUAUGAUCAUAAUGGCCUUAGAGAAGCAAACUUUUGCCAUUUCUGAAAACUAAAUGAAGAAAUGACAAAAAUUAACGAAAGAAGUGAGAAAGUUACUCAAAUUUCUUACUGUUAGACAAUAUUGAAGGCAAUACAACAUUUCAAGGGUGUGGGGUGGUAUAUAUAGGAAUGUGGGGUAUGGUGGACCAACGAAGAAAUGAAGUGGAACCAGAUUGGAGACUUGUUCACAAAGGCCCUUUGAACAGCUCAAAUUGCGGGUGGUUGGUGUUUGAUUGGUUCUCAGAAUGGACAACGGCCAGUUGGAACAAGACACGCUGCAAACGUUAGUUGUCGUUUCAAGAUUUAUAGGUGAUGUGGGUUGGAAUUUUCUCAUGCAAGAAUGGGAAACCUUACCCAACACCAUGUGCCGUGUGCAGCUACAACAAGGCGACUCGGUCUCUAACAACCACUUUUUUGUUUGAUCAUUAAACAUAUCCUCAUAAAUGAAUUAUCCUUGAAAAGAAGAAACCUUUCUAUAUAGGUUACAAAUACAAUUCCUUCAAGAUUAAUGGAAAGCUCUGCAUUACAAAACCAUGAAGUAAUAAAAAGAGAAAACGACUGAAAACCUGAAUGAAUGCAAAUAGAAAGGCCUAGAAAGUCCUAAAUUGCUCCUAGAAACUUUGGCUUUUUAGCUUUGUCUUAUUUUCCAGGAAAACAUUUUCCUUGGAAACUAAGGAUGUAAGUAGUCAAAGUCAUUAUGCUUUUGUUAUUAUCUAUGAAUUAUUGCACCAUUAAGAAAAUACUUUCAUUUGGCUUUUCUUCCUACUCUAAGCUAAGCAUAAAUAAAUGAAGGAACAAUUUUUUAUUUUUUUUUUAGAUUUGCAAGACAUUGUAUUUCAAGAGAAAGAAUUAUAUAAAACAAUUAUGUCAUGUCAACAUAUAUUUUUUUACAUUUAAAUUAUGUACAUAAUUAUAUUAUUGAAAAUUUUUAAUUAUUUAUUAUAAAAUAAUUAAUUAACUUAUUUAAAUUAAUAUUCACCAUUUAAUUCUCAUGAGACUUGUAAUAAAUGCAUUGAUUUUUUCAAAUAAUAUAAUUACAUGACAUGAUUUAAAUAUAUAAUAAUUGUUUUAUACAAACCUUUCUCUUGUGUUCAAAGCAUUAUUAUUUGUCCUAUAUUAAUUAUUGAUAUAUGGAAUUUUGAUUUAUAAAAUUAAAAACAUUAUAAAUUACACUGACAACAGGACUUGUAAAUAUAAUAGCUGAUAUCAAACAAAAGAUGAUGUAUAUAUUUCUUAAAUACUCUAGAUUGCACAACUAAUUAUCUUGCCUAUUCUUCUUUUUAGUUGAUACAUGGAAUUUGAUUUACAAAAGGAAAUAGAUGUUGUACUCCCAAUUUUUUCUCAGUUUGUAACUCAAUUUUAAAAUCUCCGAAUUGUUUGUGACCUUGUCGAGGUGUAGUUUACAGAUAAUUUUUACACAUGAAAAUUAUAUAAUUAAUUAUUAAAAUGAAACAAUCAUAAACCAGAGCUAUUCAUGGGUCGAAAUCAAGUUCAUGGGCGUAGCCCAAUUCCGAACAAGUCCAACACAUGACUUUGAGAGUCAAGUCAAGCCAAGCCUAAUCCGAAUAAUAAUUAAUAAAGGAUUUAAUUUUAAUUUUAAAUAUUGGUAUAAAUAUUGUUAAUAUUUUAAUAAUAAAUAGAAUUUGAACUGACGGGUCAAGAUUUAAGAGAUGUAAACCAUGGAUGCCUCUAAUUCAUUACACAAAAGGAAUAUAAUUACUCCCAAAAAAUAAAAAAUUCACACUAGAAGCACUUUAUUCGAAGAAUCAACUUCAUUGCAAUGGUCUAAUGAAGUAACAAAGAAUGAAAUCGGGAAAAAAAAAAAAAAAACCAAUAGAGAAGAGCCAAACAAGCUCUUUUUAAUUUAAUGCUUCAAGAAAGCAAGAAGUGAAACGAUCAAAGAGAAGCCAACAGCUGCGCUAGAAACGCCCACAGAGAAAGCGGCUCCAGCGUCUGGGGCAGGUGACGGCGCCUCGCUAACCUGCGCCGAGGCGGCGGUUAAGAAUGCCAUGACCAAAGCCACCAAAAGAGCCUUCAACACGCUAACUUGCGCCAUUUCAAAAAGAGAGAAGCAGAGAAAUUUUUAUUUUCUACUUUUGCUCUGAAAUUGUAAGAGAAUUUUCUGUGUAUGAAUUUGGGGUUGGUAUUGGGAAAGGGUGGUAUUUAUAGGGGGAGUGAAAGCCGCGUGGGGCCUACGGAGGGGAGAGUGACAGCUGGGUAACGUUCACAUAACAGCUAUUAAAUAAAUUGAGUGAACAGAAGUUACAGCAUAGAGGAGAUUUGUGAACUGCGCAGUUAGAAUCGAAAAGAUUUUGCUGUUGUGGUCGGAAGCCAAUUGGAUGUUGACACGUUUGUCUGGAAGUUCGACUGAUGAAUCUAUGUCGGUGAACGACAUUGCAACCUGGAAGCCCCGUGGGGUUGAUGAAGUUUGGGAAGGUGAUAAUUAAUUCAUGUUAUGUUAUAACAUAUACUAUAUAUGAUCAUUUUUGUUGAUACAACUACUAUAAUCAUUUUGGACAUGUUACUAUGGCAUAAACAUGUCAAUGUACUCGAUUGAUUCAAAAACUUAAAAUUUCAAUUUGAAAAUUUUGAAUUCAAAUUUUAUAACGAGCAAAAUAAAAUAAUUUAUACAAUAAACCUAAUAUCAUUCAAAAGAAACAAGACCACUCUCCUUUUUAUUUAUGUAUGAUAGUCAAUCACAACAAUUAUAUUAUAAAAUUAAAUAUACAAUUAUGGAUUUUGAUAUUUAAUUUUAAAAGAAUCGAUUAAAAUUAUUUAUUUAUUUAUUAUAUUAUUUGAAUUCAAGAAUAAGAAUUAAAUACGUACUCAUUUUUUAAAUUUUUUUCAUAUAUUUAAAUUAUCUUACUUUCAUAAUCACAUUUAUCACAAAUGUAUUGAAUAAUAAUGUUUCAAAAAAAAUAAAAAAAUUCAAAUAAUUAACAUAAUUUAUUUGGGAUUUUAUGAAAACAAAUUUAAAACAAUCAUAAAGUGUAAAAAAUAAGUAUUGGUUAAAUAUAAUUAUAUUGAAUAUAUAUAUAUAUAUAAUUUAUUUGAGGAUUCAAGGCUCCGCUUGUGGCCAUUACAAAUAUAUAUCACUAAUUUGUAACACAACAAAGAUAUCUAAAAAUUUGGAAACAAAUUAAAAAAAAAAAAUGAUAGCACCCAAUAAUAUUAAUUAUCUCAUGGCAGAAUAGAGGUCUCCCCUCAUGAAACCUUCACCAAUGAGUGAAAAGGUGGCAUCCCAUAACUCUUGAAACUUUGAAUUCAAUGCAACAACAAAGCAAUCAAAGAUACCAAUAUGGAGGAACACGCCACCACAACGGAAACCGGCAAAGUAAACCCCGAUCAGGUGUCCAUUGCUGGAGAAGGAGUGAUAUCUUGUGCCAUGUUUCCGGAUACGUAAAACAGUGCCACAACAAACAUUGCCAUCACAAUCUGAGUUGCAGAGAUCCCAAACCCUGCCAUUGACGCUUAACACAAAAUGUAGAGACGACGAGAGAGGGGAAAUUAAUUGAGGUUAGAAUUGUUUGGUUUCUGUAUGAAUUGUGCAAAUGUACUAAGCCUAGAAUUUAUAGGUAUGAUGUGAAAUUUCCUUCAAAUUUCGGAUCCACAAAUGUGAGAACUUAUAAUAACGAUUUCAUUUCCAUGCCUUUUAGGUCACGGCUUGCAUGUGGAAACCCAGAAAACGCUUUGUUUGACUGAUAUAAACUUGGAGAUAUUUAUGUAGCCUUUUGUUGAAUUUUUCUGUAGCAUUUUAACUUUAAAUAUUAAUAUAAAUAUUUUUAAUAUUUUAAUAAUAAAUAGAAUUUGAACUGACUGGUCAAGAUUUUAGAGAUGUAAACCAUGGAUGCCUCUAAUUCAGUACACAAAAGGAAUAUAAUUACACCCCAAGAAAAAAAAAUCACACUAGAAGCACUUUAUUCGAAGAAUCAACUUCAUUACAAUGGUCUAAUGAAGUAACAAAGAAUGAAAGAAUGAAAAAAAAAACAGAAAAGAAAAAAAAAACAAAACCAAUAGAGGAGCCAAACAAGCCCUUUAAUUUAAGGCUUCAAGAAAGCAAGAAGAGAAGCGAUCAAAGAGAAGCCAACAGCUGCGCUAGAAACGCCCACAGAGAAAGCAGCUCCAGCGUCUGGGGCAGGUGACGGCCCCUCGCUAACCUGCGCCGAGGCGGCGGUUAAGAAUGCCAUGACCAAAGCCACCAAAAAAGCCUUCAACACGCUAACUUGAGCCAUUUCAAAAAGAGAGAAGCUGAGAAAUUUUUAUUUCCCUUUUUUGUUCUGAAAGAGAAUUUUGUUUGCUUGGAAUUGGGGUUGGGGAAGGGAAAGUAUGGUAUUUAUAGGGGGAGUGAACGGCGUGUGGG